rnacentral:rRNA from 1 species
AAGACCUUGCACUUUUGGAGCGGCCGAUGUCUGAUUAGCUAGUUGGUGGGGUAAUGGCCUACCAAAGCUUCGAUCAGUAGCUGGUCUGAGAGGACGGCCAGCCACACUGGGACUGAGACACGGCCCAGACUCCUACGGGAGGCAGCAGUGGGGAAUUUUGGACAAUGGGCGCAAGCCUGGUCCAGCCAUGCCGCGUGAGUGAAGAAGGCCUUCGGGUUGUAAAGCUCUUUCAGUCGGGAAGAAAAGGUUGCGACUAAUAAUCGCAAUUCAUGACGGUACCGGAAGAAGAAGCACCGGCUAACUACGUGCCAGCAGCCGCGGUAAUACGUAGGGUGCGAGCGUUAAUCGGAAUUACUGGGCGUAAAGGGUGCGCAGGCGGUUUUGUAAGUCAGAUGUGAAAUCCCCGGGCUUAACCUGGGAACU